GGGUCGAUGCCCGAGCGGUUAAUGGGGACGGACUGUAAAUUCGUUGACGAUAUGUCUACGCUGGUUCAAAUCCAGCUCGACCCA
rnacentral:tRNA from 29 species